rnacentral:misc_RNA from 1 species
AAAAGCAGUAGCUCAGGCUGUGCUUAGUGCCCUUAAGCGCUUAAUAUUGGCAGAUAAAGACCUUCCAGGGAAAAAGAGUUUAUACAUAAGGUUGGGCUGCCGAGGUGAUUGGCCAGACAUCAAACCCCCAGGCUGGGAUCCAUCAACGAGCCUUGAUGCAUCUUCUCCGCGGUCAUAACUCAUAGCAGAAUCACAGUAUAUGUAUCUAAAUGAAGCUAUUUUUCUCUACCCUUAGGCUCUUGUAUCAAUGUAUCAAAAUUAAAAAACAUUCUUCUUGAGGAUAUCAAGUUGGAUAUUCUCAACAUGAUCUUUCUAUAUUAAGGGAAAGAAAAG